rnacentral:rRNA from 1 species
CGGAGGGUGCAAGCGUUAUCCGGAUUUAUUGGGUUUAAAAGGGUCCGUAGGCGGAUCUGUAAGUCAGUGGUGAAAUCUCACAGCUUAGCUGUGAAACUGCCAUUGAUACUGCAGGUCUUGAGUAAAUUUGAAGUGGCUGGAAUAAGUAGUGUAGCGGUGAAAUGCAUAGAUAUUACUUAGAACACCAAUUGCGAAGGCAGGUCACUAAGAUUUAACUGACGCUGAUGGACGAAAGCGUGGGGAGCGACAGGAUU